rnacentral:rRNA from 1 species
GAUGAACGCUGGCGGCGUGCCUAAUACAUGCAAGUCGAGCGAACAGACGAGGAGCUUGCUCCUCUGACGUUAGCGGCGGACGGGUGAGUAACACGUGGAUAACCUACCUAUAAGACUGGGAUAACUUCGGGAAACCGGAGCUAAUACCGGAUAAUAUAUUGAACCGUAUGGUUCAAUAGUGAAAGACGGUUUUGCUGUCACUUAUAGAUGGAUCCGCGCCGCAUUAGCUAGUUGGUAAGGUAACGGCUUACCAAGGCAACGAUGCGAAGCCGACCUGAGAGGGUGAUCGGCCACACUGGAACUGAGACACGGUCCAGACUCCUACGGGAGGCAGCAGUAGGGAAUCUUCCGCAAUGGGCGAAAGCCUGACGGAGCAACGCCGCGUGAGUGAGGAAGGUCUUCGGAUCGUAAAACUCUGUUAUUAGGGAAGAACAAAUGUGUAAGUAACUAUGCACGUCUUGACGGUACCUAAUCAGAAAGCCACGGCUAACUACGUG